rnacentral:snoRNA from 1 species
AAGCGAGGUCCAGAGUCACCUUUGAGAAUAAGUGUCUUUUUGGUGCUAGGAUUACUCGAAAAUAAAUUAGGGACUUUAUGCAAGCAGCUGUUGCAUUUUGCUCAUCUGUUUCACCUCCGUUUCUAACAAUU